GUGUUUGCUUUGGCAGCACAUAUACUAAAACUGGAAUCAUACAGAAAAGAUUAGCAUGGUCCUACUCAAGGAUGACAUUCAAAUUUGUGAAGCAUUCCAUAUUUUU